rnacentral:lncRNA from 1 species
UUUGUAUUGUAGCUUUGUUAAAGUUGUAACCUGUCUCUAUUGUUUUACAAUGUCAGUGUAAUGUGUAGGUAGGACUUGAUUUGGGACUCCUCAGUCCUGUUGUCUGUACCUUCAAUCGUUUUAUUGAUUGUAAAGUUUAUAAAUUAAAAAUUAAAUUAAAUUAAGUCCGUAAGGCCAAAAAAAAAAUAUGUGGGUUUCCGGUUUCCUCUUGUAAAAACUUAGGUAGGGUAGGUCGGUUUUAACUUUUUUUUUUAAACUUUUUUUUUAUUUUCCUAACAACCGGACGCCAUUUUGUUUAGUCAGUGCUUCCACAUCCAAACAUAAAUUUCCCUAAUAUUGCCUCAAAUUUUCAUUUUCCACAAACGUUUUCCUCUAAGUGGAAACACUUACAAGCGUGAUCCAAUAAAAAAGUUUAGGGUCGGGAUUUCGACGUCCAAAAGCUAGCUAGGUAGGGUCGGGAAACCCGAAACCCAAAUAUUUUUUUAUUUGGCCUAAUGUAAUCAAAUCCUUUGUUUACAUUUUGAACCGCUAUAUUUGUAAAAUAAGACAUACUAACUGAAUGUCUAACACUUUUCUGGUUCGCAAAUGUAAAUGAAUAUAAACUAGAGUACGUUUCAAUUCAAAAAAGUUCGAAAGAUGUAGAAUUUGGGCAAUGUUUUUAUCUGUGGUCCCCCUUUGUUAUGAGCAGAACUGAUGCGCAGAACGUACUUGACAUGGUCUUUAACUAAAAAGCAUUCGGAGUAUUUUCUCGUGAGCUCACAAAUCAAUUAUAUCGUUUCAAGAAAUCGGCACACACUAACAGUGGAAGUUCCGCUAAUCGCUAUUCGAAAAGCAGAAAAUGUAUGGUCAAGCAGAUUUUUUGGCUAGUUCCUCGGGUAGAGGAGAACUGAUCACGUGAUCGGCGAGUUGUGUUG